rnacentral:rRNA from 1 species
GACGGACGCUGGCGGCGUGCUUAAUACAUGCAAGUGGAGCGACGAACCAGGCUUCGGCCUGGGGCAGAGCCGCGAACGGGUGAGUAACACGUUGGGUAACCUGCCUCGAUGACCGGGACAACCCGGGGAAACCCGGGCUAAUACCGGAUGUGCUGUCCCCACAUCAGUGGAGACAGGAAAGGAAGCUUCGGCCUCCGCAUCGAGAUGGGCCCGCGGCCCAUUAGCUUGUUGGUGUGGUAACGGCUCACCAAGGCUGCGAUGGUAGCUGGUCUGAGAGGACGAUCAGCCACACUGGGACUGAGACACGGCCAGACUCCUACGGGAGGCAGCAGUAGGGAAUCUUGCGCAAUGCGCGAAAGCGUGACGCAGCAACGCCGCGU